UACGAAGGGUGCAAGCGUUAUUCGGAAUGAUUGGGCGUAAAGGGUGCGCAGACGGUGCGUUAAGUCAACUGUUAAAAUUUCCUGGCCUAACUGGGAGCAAGCAGUAGAAACUGGCGCGCUAGAGGGUGGAAGAGAGAAGUGGAAUUCUCGGAGUAGCGGUAAAAUGCGUAGAUCUCGAGAGGAACACCAAUGGCGAAGGCAGCUUCUUGGUCCAUUUCUGACGUUCAUGCACGGAAAGCGUGGGUAGCAAACAGG
rnacentral:rRNA from 1 species